rnacentral:rRNA from 1 species
AUAUCAAUAAGCGGAGGAAAAGAAACCAACAGGGAUUGCCUCAGUAACGGCGAGUGAAGCGGCAACAGCUCAAAUUUGAAAUCUGGCCCUUCUGGGGUCCGAGUUGUAAUUCGUAGAAGAUGCUUCGGGUGUGGCUCCGGUCUAAGUUCCUUGGAACAGGACGUCAUAGAGGGUGAGAAUCCCGUAUGUGACUGGCAGCCUUCGCCCAUGUGAAGCUCUUUCGACGAGUCGAGUUGUUUGGGAAUGCAGCUCAAAAUGGGUGGUAAAUUUCAUCUAAAGCUAAAUAUUGGCGAGAGACCGAUAGCGAACAAGUACCGUGAGGGAAAGAUGAAAAGAACUUUGAAAAGAGAGUUAAACAGUAG